GGAGAUGAGACAUCUCGCAUAAAUCAGUGCAGCAAGGUCUGCCUGGAUCCCAAAUGGUGCCUCACCUACCCCCCCUUAAGGGGCUUGAGAACCUAUUGGCUGCAUAUGGUGAUAGCAGUGGGGCAACCACAAUUACUGAGCCUGUGGAUCGCGAACCACGACCUCUCCAAGCAACUCAGCUGCAAGAUGCCGCCCACGCAAGCUCGUCUUUAUAAGCAGCCCUUUGGAGACGGCCUUCCUGCGUCAGAGCCGAGAGAGGCGGCGUUUCCUGUACUCGGGAGCCACGGCAGUGCCCCUUCCCGGCUGCCGAGAUGCCCAGUAUGCAUUCCUGGACCCCAACCAUGCCACAGAGAGCCUCGUUCCGCAGUGAAAUUCCGGCUUCUGCAUCCCUCCACCAUUUAGACCUGAGAACUUGCCCUCUCAGCCUACUCAGAGAAGUCCUAUAGAGAAGAGAGGAGGACCUUGCAAAAACCCCUUGCGUUCCUCCGGAGACCAAGAGCUCUAGGAAGUCUACAGGAGGCUCGAGAACAAUUCAGCUCCUCUGGGAGAAGAACCCAAUCGGCUGGAAGGCGGACACCUCAGUAUUUGAGGUAAGUUCGAAGUCUUGCCCCUUUGGCCUAAACUCUACACUUUCUUGCCAGGCCCACCCUGAGCAGACCCUUUGCAUCUC
rnacentral:lncRNA from 1 species